rnacentral:rRNA from 1 species
AUUGAACGCUGGCGGCGUGCCUAACACAUGCAAGUCGAGCGGCAGCGCGGGGCAACCUGGCGGCGAGCGGCGGACGGGUGAGCAAUAUUUGGGAAUCUGCCUAUUAGUGGGGGAUAACCCGGGGAAACUCGGGCUAAUACCGCAUACGUACUACGGCAGAACGCCGGGGACCGCAAGGCCUGGCGCCAAUAGAUGAGCCUAAGUCGGACUAGCUAGUUGGUGAGGUAAUGGCUCACAAAGGCGACGAUCCGUAGCUGGUUUGAGAGAAAGACCAGCCACACCGGAACUGAGACACGGUCCGGACUCCUACGGGAGGCAGCAGUGGGGAAUAUUGGACAAUGGGCGAAAGCCUGAUCCAGCGACGCCGCGUGGGUGAAGAAGGCCUGCGGGUUGUAAAGCCCUUUCGGUUGGGAAGAAAUGUAUUGACCUAACACGUCAGUACCUUGACGUAACCAACAAAAGAAGCACCGGCUAACUCUGUGCCAGCCGCCGCAGUAACAC